CCCCCCCUCUCCAGUCCGGAUCGGCACUACAUGGCCAAAAGUAUGUGGACAGGCCUCCCCUCCCUCAUGUCCAUUAACCCGCUGCUGGGCCGCGCUUUCAGAUGCUGAACCAGCAGUGAGGUCCAGCUCUGAUGCCGGUGAUCAGGUCUGGAUCCUGUUGGACUGGGUCGAGGUCAGGACUCUGGAGCCGCUUUGUCUCUGAUGAAACAGGAAAGCGUCUGUUCUGGUGCUGAACGGCUCAGAAAGAAGAUUAUCUGACUGUAUUCUCAUUUUCACUGAGAAAGACAUUAAAGUGAUGACGGUGGGAUGUUUGACGUCUCUGCAGCACCACAGAACUGCGUGUAGUGCACACACGUCUCCCUGAAGAAAAACUGCAUGAUGUGAUUUUUAUAAAACUGUCCUGCUUUAGAAAGUUCCUCCAAACAUUCAGAGGAACAAAGAGUCCAGACGGCGACGUGCAAAGGAACUAAAGCACCAGACUUAAAGAUCAUUUUGAGAGGAUCCCAUGAAUAAAUGCAGAGGCCGCCGGGCGUUCGACAUCCACUGACCAUGUGCACUGAGAGAGAGAGAGAGAGAGAGAGAGUCAUUGUUAUGGCACAACAGGAAAACUACAUCACAUCAGUCUGAAACAUCUGGAGGACAAACAGACUUGAUUCAUCCCUCGUUUAUCAGUGACGCCGUCUCUGCCUGGACCCCGGGAGGACGACGUCUUCAUGGAGACGUCAGAGAAAGAUGGAGGCUAUUGAUCAGGUUGUGUUUGCAGACCAGGAUCUGUCUCUGACCCAGAUCUGAGAGUCUGAACAGAACCAGAACUCAUUUUACUGACACGUCAGGAUCAACGUCACCUGAUCAGUGGCCUUCCUGUUUGAUAGAAGGGGACGGGGUUUGUCUGAGCUGGUCACCUGGUUGCACAUGAAACCAGAAAUAACCAAAGUUAUCUCUGAUUGGCCCGAUUAAAAUUCUGAAUUGAAAACAAAGAAUCAUAAACCUCCUGUAAUUGUUUGGUCAUUUCAUACAAACUGUCUGGAACAUCUGGAUUCAGGUCCAGGUCUGGGCAGAGGUCAGGUGUUGAGGACGCCUCAGCUCACAUUUCUCCACACUGAGGCUAAUUUCUCCCAGCAUCCUCAGAGGCCUUAUGAGGCUGGUCAGGAGCUUAGGGUCAGGCUUUAGGGUCAGGCUUUAGGGUCAGGAGCUUAGGGUCAAUCAGGAAGUGCGAUGCAGGAUCGUAAAGAGAGACGAUAACACAAAUUGUUCCGAGAUCAGGUUUCUGUUGUUUUAACACAAACACUGACAGCAGCCCUCUCACACUCACCUGUCGGCUCUGUGGAUCACUGUGACUGCAGGAAACAGCUGUAAACGUGUCACUUGACCUUCAGAAUAAAAGCUUCCUGUGUAAAUGGA